rnacentral:rRNA from 1 species
CCUACGGGUGGCAGCAGUGAGGAAUAUUGGUCAAUGGACGAGAGUCUGAACCAGCCAAGUAGCGUGAAGGAUGACUGCCCUAUGGGUUGUAAACUUCUUUUAUAUGGGAAUAAAAUGUUCCACGUGUGGGAUUUUGUAUGUACCAUAUGAAUAAGGAUCGGCUACCUCCGUGCCAGCAGCCGCGGUAAUACGGAGGAUUCGAGCGUUAUCCGGAUUUAUUGGGUUUAAAGGGAGCGUAGGUGGAUUGGUAAGUCAGUUGUGAAAGUUUGCGGCUCAACCGUAAAAUUGCAGGUGAAACUGGCAGUCUUGAGUACAGUAGAGGUGGGCGGAAUUCGUGGUGUAGCGGUGAAAUGCUUAGAUAUCACGAAGAACUCCGAUUGCGAAGGCAGUUCACUGGACUGCAACUGACACUGAGGCUCGAAAGUGUGGGUAUCAAACAGGAUUAGAUACCCUUGUAGUC